rnacentral:rRNA from 1 species
CCGUUGCACAAGCGGUUGGAGCAUGUGGUUUAAUUCGAAGCAACGCGCAGAACCUUUACCAGCCUUUGACAUCCUAGGACGACUUCUGGAGACAGAUUUCUUCCCUUCGGGGACCUAGUGACAGGUGCUGCAUGGCUGUCGUCAGCUCGUGUCGUGAGAUGUUGGGUUAAGUCCCGCAACGAGCGCAACCCUCGUCCUUAGUUGCCACCAUUAAGUUGGGCACUUUAAGGAAACUGCCGGUGAUAAGCCGGAGGAAGGUGGGGAUGACGUCAAGUCCUCAUGGCCCUUACAGGCUGGGCUACACACGUGCUACAAUGGCAUCUACAGUGGGCAGCUAUUCCGCAAGGAUGCGCUAAUCUCCAAAAGAUGUCUCAGUUCGGAUUGUCCUCUGCAACUCGAGGGCAUGAAGGCGGAAUCGCUAGUAAUCGCGGAUCAGCAUGCCGCGGUGAAUACGUUCCCAGGCCUU